GAUGAACGCUGGCGGCGUGCCUAAUACAUGCAAGUCGAGCGAACAGACGAGGAGCUUGCUCCUCUGACGUUAGCGGCGGACGGGUGAGUAACACGUGGAUAACCUACCUAUAAGACUGGGAUAACUUCGGGAAACCGGAGCUAAUACCAGAUAAUAUAUUGAACCGCAUGGUUCAAUAGUGAAAGACGGUUUUGCUGUCACUUAUAGAUGGAUCCGCGCCGCAUUAGCUAGUUGGUAAGGUAACGGCUUACCAAGGCAACGAUGCGUAGCCGACCUGAGAGGGUGAUCGGCCAAACUGGAACUGAGACAAGGUCCAGACUCCUACGGGAGGCAGCAGUAGGGAAUCUUCCGCAAUGGGCGGAAGCCUGACGGAGCAACGCCGCGUGAGGGAUGAAGGUCUUCGGAUCGUUAAACUCUGUUAUUAGGGAAGAACAAAUGUGUAAGUAACUAUGCACGUCUUGACGGUACCUAAUCAGAAAGCCACGGCUAACUACGUG
rnacentral:rRNA from 1 species